CACAUCUACUGUUCGACCAACACCACCAGAGGAGUUAUCUCACCCGGUACAGUGUGAGACAGACCCUUCUCCUGUGAAUAGAGUUGUGGUGUAUGGAGAUGUAACUUAUACCACAUCUACUGUUCGACCAACACCACCAGAGGAGUUAUCUCACCCGGUACAGUGUGAGACAGACCCUUCUCCUGUGAAUAGAGUUGUGGUGUAUGGAGAUGUAACUUAUACCACAUCUACUGUGCUUUCUUGAUGCUGUUUGUGCACGGCCCUCCACCUCCUCAUCACCACCCAGUCUUCAGAUUCCUCAAUGCAACACUUCAACCUCAUCAGCCCGAUCAGUUUCAGCCUCAUGAUGACUUUGGUGGUGGUAGCUGUUGAUCAAUCAAUCUUGGGCCAAAUCACAACAGUGUCUGGACUCCAUGGGGGGGGAUCUAUCAUGCUGCUGCUCAGGAUUUACGUCCUUCGAUUCAAAAAUUCUCCCUGCAGAGUCCAAGCGCCAAAGACUUAAUAUCACCUCCAUAAUAAAAAUAAUUUUAUUUAAUUCUCUGGUCUCUCCUGAUUGAAAUACAAAAAUUUAAAUUGAAACACAAGGCGCUUUUCUUUUUCAUGGUCAAAAAGGGAUGA